CAUAAUUUGUGUUGCCAGGUACUGAAGUUCUACAUGGUGUCCAAAGAUCCAGGUGGCUUUAGCUGAGGAGAUGGGAGGACACCGACUUGUUGAAACUACAGACUUGAACACUGAUUGUGAACCUUUAAAGCAACCAAACAUUAACUUUUUGUUUGGACCAACCAAACAAAAUAAAGAAAACAAUUAAAAUUCAACAAUCUGAACUCACAGAUGAAGCUUGGACCACAAUGCUGUCCAGAGCGAACAAAGCCGGUAGCCGGGCAGAUCGAUGUACAGGUGGGCUCACCCAUCGUUGGUCCCAAGAACCAACGAGUCCAUGUUAUGCAUCCCUGUAGUAAAAAUAUAUUACUGCUGUUCAUUUAGUUCAUUUUUAAAGCUUGUAAUAAAAAAAAAAAACACCUGUUUUAAUUGCAGUCUCUUACAUAACUGGAUAAAACUUCUCACAGACGCUUUAACAAAAUGUAAAAAUGCUUCCCAGCAUUAGGCCCCUGUAUUCCUGAUUCAUACUGCUUCAUUUUAAAUGACAGAGAUUAAAAACCUCUACGUGUCAAAAUUGACUAAUAUUUAAGUGUUU